rnacentral:rRNA from 1 species
GUGCCAGCAGCCGCGGUAAUACGUAGGCAGCAGGGUUGUUCGGAGUUACUGGGCGUAAAGGGUGUGUAGGCGGUUGUUUAAGUUUGGUGUGAAAUCUCCCGGUUCAACUGGGAGGUGCGCCGAAUACUGAAUGACUUCGAGUGCGGGAGAGGAAAGUGGAAUUCCUGGUGUAGCGGUGAAAUGCGUAGAUAUCAGGAGGAACACCGGUGGUGUAGACGGCUUUCUGGACCGUAACUGACGCUGAGACACGAAAGCGUGGGUAGCAAACAGGAUUAGAUACCCUGGUAGUCCACGCCCUAAACGAUGCAUAUUUGGUGUGGGCAGUUCAUUCUGUCCGUGCCGGAGCUAACGCGUUAAAUAUGCCGCCUGGGGAGUACAGUCGCAAGGCUGAAACUCAAAGGAAUUGACGGGGGCCCGCACAAGCGGUGGAGCAUGUGGUUCAAUUCGACGCAACGCGAAGAACCUUACCUAGGCUCGAACGGCUGGUCAACGGAGGUGGAAACAUCUUUACCCCGCAAGGGGGUCCAGUCGAGGUGCUGCAUGGCUGUCGUCAGCUCGUGUCGUGAGAUGUUGGGUUAAGUCCCGCAACGAGCGCAACCCUUGUCCUGUGUUGCCAUGCCGAAAGGCGGAACUCGCAGGAGACCGCCAGCGAUAAGCUGGAGGAAGGUGGGGAUGACGUCAAGUCCUCAUGGCCUUUAUGUCUAAGGCUACACACGUGCUACAAUGGACGGUACAAAGCGUCGCUAACCUGCGAAGGGGACCAAUCGCAAAAAACCGUUCUCA